CCACUUGCUCGCAACGCUCACUCGCUCUCCGUCGCUGCACCACUCACUCGCUCGCUGGAAUACCCUUCCCUCGUCGCCUCUCCUCUCCGUCGCCGCCUUCUCCCUCUCCUCGUCGCCGCCUUCCCCCUCUCCUCAUCGCUGGCCUCUUCCUCUUCCCGUCGCCGGCCUGUUCCACCGCCCCUUUCUCCCCACUACCCCGCCUUCACUCACACCCCGUAGGUUAAAAAAUUGAUUCUUUUUGCGUCGGCGAUGAGCUUCUCUGCGACGGAGGCGUGGAUGUGUAGCGGCGCCAGAGCUGGAUACGGGCUACGGGGGCGUGGAUGUCGAGCGGUGCCCGAGCGGACCUAGAGCGGCGACGGAGCGGCGGAUCUGACGAGUCGGGGCAGCAGAGCGACAGUGGAGCCUCGAAGCGAAGCGGCACGGGAGGCCGAGUGGGCAGGUGCCACCGGUGGCGGGACGAGCAUCUGGAGAAGGAGGGCGACGCCGAGCUCGGUUGGGGCCUCCUCGGCGACCGCUGCGGCGAGGUCUGCGCACUCAGUCUCUAAGUGCCCGCCGCGGCGAGUUGUACGUACGCCAAGACCUUCUACGGUGGAGUGAAGUUGAGGUCUGGGAGAUCCAUUUUCUCCUGAAGAUAUGAAUAUGUAAGAAGAAGUACAAGUAGAAGAAGUACAAGUGGAAGAAGAAGAAGAAGAAGAAGAAGAAGAAGAACUGGAGUUCUCUGCGCUGUCCGGGACGAGAAGAGGAGCAACAAGAAUCAAGCCCAAUACAGAGACGAGAGGAGCAGCAGAAGUGGACAACGCAGCGGCUGACCUCAAGCUCUUGAUUGGAGUGGGGGAGGUGGCCGGCGAGGGAUCUGUGGCCAGCAGGGAAGGAUCGGAAGCUGCGGCGGAGCAGGCAGCCGGCGAGGGAGAUGCGGACCGCAGCAGGGAAGGGCGGCCAGCGAGGGAGCUGCGGACCACCGCGGGGAAGGGCGGCCGGCGAGGGAGCUUCGGGCCGCGGCGGGGAAGGGCGGUCGGCUUGGGAGCUUCGGACUGCGGCGGGGAAGGACGCCGGAGACGCGGACGGCGGAGGAGCCCGACGGAAGGGAGGAGCGACGGCGGAGAAGCCUAGCGGAGGGAAGGAGCGACGGAGGAAGACGCCUCCCGAUCGAUUUCAAAUCGAGGGUACUUUCGUACUUUCACACCAUUUCACCUAGUCGGAACAGAACCUCCAGCGAUAAAUAUUAUGGAACAUAGGGAGUAUAUACAAAUUCCAACCAUUCUACUGCCAAAA